rnacentral:tRNA from 1 species
GGGAAUGUGGCUGAGUGGUAGAGUGCUUGCCUAGCAUGCAUGAAGCCCUGGGUUCAAUUCCUCAGCACCA